rnacentral:lncRNA from 1 species
UUCAUCAGUUGUAUGGAGACAAAAGUUUACAUGACAUGUUUAGUACGUUAAAAUCAACAAGACGUUCCAUUUCAUUUAUCCGUGACAUGUAUAUAAGUUUGUUUGAAUCAAAUAAAUUCUCAAUCGUCAUAUGGUAUUGUAUAUUGAGUUCUAAAUCCAACUAUGUUUCCCUAUUUUCAUGUACAUAACCAUACAUUUCCACUCUAUUCUAAUUGCUUGUUUCGAAUGAAUUCAAAUAAAAGAAGGUUCAACUGCACCAUUGGUCUUCAAACUUUUGACCUUGUUGCGAUCUCUUCUCCAGCCUACAUAUUGUGUAUCGUUCUUGGCCUCCAUCGGACAGAUUCCUUCAUUUUGGUCAAUGCCACAUUCUCAUUCUAUAGGUUAUAAUUAAGGUUGCAGAAGUACAAUGAUCAUUCACAAAUAAUAAUUAAUUUACAACAAUAUAUCGGUUAUUCAAUGUAAACCCGUACAUUUAUAGUGUGUACCGAUUGGGCUGCACUUACUCUCUAUAAUUGGGCUUCCAUUGUAAAGAUAGUUUAUCCCAUGCAAUUUUUUAUAUAAUUUUCACUCAUCCUUAUCUCUAGUUUUGUUUGUGUAGGAAGAUUAGAGAAAUAUAUAAAAUACAUAUCGUAUAAGUAUUAUUUGCUCAUCUCGAUUGAGU